AUUGAACGCUGGCGGCAGGCCUAGCACAUGCAAGUCGAGCGGAUGAAGGGAGCUUGCUCCUGGAUUCAGCGGCGGACGGGUGAGUAAUGCCUAGGAAUCUGCCUGGUAGUGGGGGAUAACGUCCGGAAACGGGCGCUAAUACCGCAUACGUCCUGAGGGAGAAAGUGGGGGAUCUUCGGACCUCACGCUAUCAGAUGAGCCUAGGUCGGAUUAGCUAGUUGGUGGGGUAAAGGCCUACCAAGGCGACGAUCCGUAACUGGUCUGAGAGGAUGAUCAGUCACACUGGAGCUGAGACACGGUCCAGACUCCUACGGGAGGCAGCAGUGGGGAAUAUUGGACAAUGGGCGAAAGCCUGAUCCAGCCAUGCCGCGUGUGUGAAGAAGGUCUUCGGAUUGUAAAGCACUUUAAGUUGGGAGGAAGGGCAGUAAGUUAAUACCUUGCUGUUUUGACGUUACCAACAGAAUAAGCACCGGCUAACUUCGUG
rnacentral:rRNA from 1 species